AUGCACGCGUUUCAGCAGUUCUACCACCUGGUCGGGCAAAAUUUCGGGGCUCUGAACACUGCGAUCAUCGCGCUCAUCCCCAAGAAAGACGGAGCAAGCUGCAUUGCUGACUACAGACCGAUUAGCCUGAUCCAUUCAAUUGCCAAGUUGAUCUCCAAAGUCCUCUCGCUCCGGCUGGCCUCAGUGGUGCAGUCUAUCAUCUCGCCCGCACAGACGGCUUUCCUGAAGACCAGAUGCCUGCACGACAGCUUUGUAUACGUCCAGAAUUGUGUCAAGAGCCUACACCGCAGGAAAACACCGACAGUCCUCCUAAAACUUGACAUCUCGAGAGCCUUUGACAAUGUCUUCUAGGAGUAUCUACUAGAGUUGCUCACAAGACUAGGGUUUAGUGCACGCUAGCGGGAUUGGAUCUCGCUCCUCCUCGCCACCUCAUCAUCGGUCAUCCUCCUCAAUGGGUCACCAGGCGCGCGCAUCCUUCAUCGACGGGGCCUGAGGCAGGGAGACCCACUGUCUUCCCUCCUCUUCAUAAUCGCGAUCGACCCCAUCCACUGCCUGCUACAAGCUGCCGAGGAAGCCCUGGAGAUCAUGCCAGUUCCUGGCAGAGAGGUAAAGCUCAGGGUGAGCCUGUACACCGACGACGCUAUCAUCUUCGCAAACCCAGACAAGGAGGAGAUCUAUCACCUGAUGCAUAUCCUGCAAAGCUUCGGCGAUGCCUCGGGCCUCCGGAUCAACCUUGCCAAAUCCACGGCCACGCCAAUCCACUGCAACAACAUCGACCUGUAG
rnacentral:rRNA from 1 species